rnacentral:tRNA from 1 species
GGGCCGGUAGAUUAGCCCGGCAGAUCGUCUGGUUUGCAUCCAGAAGGUCGUGGGUUCAAAUCCCACCCGGUCCACCA